UACGGGGGGGGCAAGCGUUGUUCGGAAUUACUGGGCGUAAAGGGCUCGUAGGUGGCCAACUAAGUCAGUUGUGAAAUCUCCGGGCUUAACUCGGAAAGGUCAACUGAUACUGUGCGACUAGAGUGCGGAAGGGGCAACUGGAAUUCUCGGUGUAGCGGUGAAAUGCGUAGAUAUCGAGAGGAACACCUGCGGCGAAGGCGGGUUGCUGGGCCGACACUGACGCUGAUGCGCGAAAGCCAGGGGAGCGAACGGG
rnacentral:rRNA from 1 species